rnacentral:tRNA from 1 species
UAGAGAUAAUAAGCCGAAGCUGCUAACUUUGACUUGGGACAUAACUGUUC